GAUGAAGAACGUAGCGAAAUGCGAUAAGUAGUGUGAAUUGCAGAAUCUCGUGAACCAUCGAGUCUUUGAACGCAAGUUGCGCCCGAAGCCAUUAGGCCGAGGGCACGCCUGCCUGGGUGUCACACACCGUUACCCUCGCGCCAACGUCCAUCGUUGGCCGCGGCGCGGGGCGUGCGCUGACCUCCCGCGAGCGGGGUCUCGUGGUUGGUUGAAAAUCGAGUUCGCGGUCGAGGGUGCCGUGAUGAAAUGGUGGAUGGGCGACGCCCGAGGCCAAUCACGCGCGACUCUGUCCGGCUCGGACUCCUGGACCCCUUCGGCGUCUCCGGACGCUCUUUGGCGAGACCUCAGGUCAGGCGGGGCUACCCGCUGAGUUUAAGCAUAUCAAUAAGCGGAGGA
rnacentral:misc_RNA from 1 species